AAAACUUUAUCACUUACAGCAUAGAACACACCACUUGUAUUCUAUAGUGUUCCGGGUGUGGAACCUCUGAAGCUUCUUCCUCAGUUUCAGAAUUACAAGCUCUUAUCUUUCUAAAAUAAUGGCUUCACUUUCUCUCAACAUGGUUUCAGUUCCACCAAGAACAACAACAAUCUCAUGCACAAGAACAAGGGUGCCUUCACUUCCUUUCUCAUUCACUAGGAGGAGAUUAACUAUUAGAGCAACAGAAACCGAUACAAAUAAUGGUGGGGGGUUGGGAUUGAGCAGUUAAGUCUCAGGCACCGGAUAAGGCUCCGUCGAAAGACGGUUCAAGCAUGAAUCAGCUUCUUGGUAUUAAAGGAGCUGCUCAAGAAUCACUGAGUUAAUCAACUGUGUGUUCUUUGUUGAGUUGUGAUGGUGGGCUGGUCAGGCUUUGUUUGGGACACUCACAUCCGACAUUAUUGUCCUGACGUUGCUAUACAGCAUUCGAAGUCUUCAGUUAUUGAAGAAAUUUAACUAUAUAUGCCUGGAGAUUGUAGAGAUUUUGCUUGAACAUGCAUUGCAUAAGGGAAGAAGCAAUAACUCUCUCAUUGAGGUACAUGAAAAUUUGAUCCUAACUUAAUACGUUAUUUCACUAAGAUGUUUGAUACAUUAAUAUACUGUGUAAUCAAUAAAACCACGACAUGUAAACCAAUUAUAUGAACAGGAGUUUGGCUUCCAUGUGUACAACUAAUUUAGCAAGAGCUGAAGAUUUUUUUUUAAGUAGUUUCUUUGGUGAAUCAUAUUCCCUAACAAGCUUGCAGGAUCAAAUGAAAAGAAAUCAUAUUUCAAGAUUUAAAAGAAACACGAUGAAGGGCUGAAGGCUACAAAGAUAAAAGAAAAGACAAACCUGCGUUGGUUAAGAACCAGAACUAUGUCACCAUUGAGGAUUAAAGUUAUUCUAUGAGCAAUGUAAUAACUGUGCAUUUUUGAAUCUUGCUUUGCUAUUUUAUUUCAGGUGUGAAUUCUUGUGAGAGUCAACAUUGUGUGUGUCUAUACAUCUUUUGCUGGCUUCAGUACAUGAAUACGAGAAUCUCUCCCUUUUGCUUGAAUUUCUUGGGUGAAUACAUCUAGGUGGUAAAAUGGUACAUAAUAUAUACAUGGUGAACCUAUAGCAUUUCUCUUUUUCACAUCUCAGAUAUACUGGCAUGCUAUCUUAAGUAUACAACAGGUGAUCUUUAUACUUUUUUGCCUCAACUAAGCAACAAAAUCCACAGCUAAUGAAUGUGGGAAGGAUGGAAAACUCUACAUGAUGGUGCAUAGCUUGCUAAUGUUGUUGGUUCUGUGAGUUGUAUUCAGUUGUAGAGGAGGAGCCUUGAAGAAACAGUUACGUUUUCUCUGUGGAAUCUCAAGGUCAUAGGUUCAAGUUACGGAAUCAGUCAUUGACAGUUAGAUCAAGUUAGAUUGCCUACAUUACACUCAAUUGCCUUCCCAGAUCUUGUCUAACGCGGGAUUCUUGUGUUUUUUGCAAUUUGUAUUCAGAAAGUGCGAUCUGUGUAUUAGUUUCUAAUUUAUGCUGUUUUCAAUUGUGAACUUCGACCCCCACAAUGUUAGUUUUUAAACUAACAAGUUUGGUUUUGAUAGGUUUGUACAGUACAGAGGGUAUAGAAUAUGUGGAUGUUUUGGUGCGCAAAGCAUGUAAUAUUGUAAUGUAUCACUGAUGAUCUUCAUAGAAUCAUAGCAAUAUUAGAGUGGUGACUCAAGAAGUAUAGAAGGAUAUAUGUAAUGUCUUAUAUUGUGUUUGUUAUAGGUAUUGAAUUAUAUUAAGGAUAGGC